rnacentral:rRNA from 1 species
GUACACUCCUGCGGGAGGCAGCAGUGGGGAAUAUUGGACAAUGGGCGCAAGCCUGAUCCAGCCAUGCCGCGUGAGUGAUGAAGGCCCUAGGGUUGUAAAGCUCUUUCACCGGUGAAGAUAAUGACGGUAACCGGAGAAGAAGCCCCGGCUAACUUCGUGCCAGCAGCCGCGGUAAUACGAAGGGGGCUAGCGUUGUUCGGAUUUACUGGGCGUAAAGCGCACGUAGGCGGACUAUUAAGUCAGGGGUGAAAUCCCGGGGCUCAACCCCGGAACUGCCUUUGAUACUGGUAGUCUUGAGUUCGAGAGAGGUGAGUGGAAUUCCGAGUGUAGAGGUGAAAUUCGUAGAUAUUCGGAGGAACACCAGUGGCGAAGGCGGCUCACUGGCUCGAUACUGACGCUGAGGUGCGAAAGCGUGGGGAGCAAACAGGAUUAGAAACCCUUGUAGUCCCAUGAU